AGCAAUGGCGGACUCCCCUCUCCUAGCCAGGCUGCAGCCUUGCUGGUCGAUCUCAGAGUGCUGUGCUAGCCGUCAUCAAGGCUCCAUGGACAUGGGACCCGCCAAGCCCGGCACUGGAGAGAAUCGCCUGAUCUGCGGGUUGCUGAGACUGUGGGAAAAGCACAGUAUUUGGAUGGGAGUUUCCCAUUUUUUCCAGGUAAAGUCUGUCACGGAGUCCCUUGCCUAGGAAAGGGAAAUCCCCUGACCCCUUGUGCUUCCCAGGUAGGUCGAUGCCCUGCUCUGCUUCAGGUCGCCCUCCGUGUGCUGCACCCACAGUCCCAACAAGUCCCAGUGAGAUUAACCAGGUACCUCAGUUGGAAAUGCAGAAAUCACCCAUCUUCUGCCUCGAUCAUGCUGGGAGCUGCAGACCCGAGCUGAUCCUAUUCGGCCAUCUUAGAACGGAUCCCCGGUCCUCUUUAAUUUCUUUUAGCAAUGUUUGAGAGUUUUUAGUGGACAAAUCUUUCACCUCCUUGGUAAAAUAUAUUCCCAAUUUUUAUUUGUAUUCUUUUGAAUAUUAUUGUAAAUGGAAUUUAAAAAAAUCUUUUCAGUUGUUCAUUGCUUGUGUGUAGAAACACAACCGAUUUUUGUUGGUUGGCUUGUAUCAUGAAAAUUUGCUGAGUUUUGUUAUUAGCUCCCAUAGGUUUUUAAAUAAUUUUGACAGAUUUUCUAUAUACAGGAUUAUAUCAUCUGCAGAUAUAAAUAGUUUUACUUCUUUCUUUCUAAUGACAAUGCAUUUUUUUUAAUCUGCCUAAUUGUACUGGCUAUUACUUCCAGUGCAAUGUUGAAUAGCAGUGUUGAAAGCAGACAUCCUUUUCUUAUUUCUGAUCUUAAGGGGAAAGGUUUUAUUCUUUUACUAUUAAGUGUAAUUU
rnacentral:lncRNA from 1 species